rnacentral:rRNA from 1 species
GAUGAACGCUAGCGGCAGGCCUAACACAUGCAAGUCGAGGGGUAGAACACUUCGGUGUUUGAGACCGGCGCACGGGUGCGUAACGCGUAUGCAAUCUACCUUGUACAGGGGAAUAGCCCAGAGAAAUUUGGAUUAAUGCCCCAUAGUAUAUAACCUUCGCAUGUUGGUUAUAUUAAAGUUCCAACGGUACAAGAUGAGCAUGCGUCCCAUUAGUUAGUUGGUAAGGUAACGGCUUACCAAGACGAUGGUGGGUAGGGGUCCUGAGAGAGAGAUCCCCCACACUGGUACUGAGACACGGACCAGACUCCUACGGGAGGCAGCAGUGAGGAAUAUUGUUCAAUGGGCGCAAGCCUGAACCAGCCAUGCCGCGUGCAGGAAGACGGUCCUAUGGAUUGUAAACUGCUUUUAUACAGGAAGAAACCCUCCCACGUGUGGGAGAUUGACGGUACUGUAGGAAUAAGGAUCGGCUAACUCCGUGCCAGCAGCCGCGGUAACAC